GAUGAAGAACGUAGCGAAAUGCGAUACGUAAUGUGAAUUGCAGAAUUCAGUGAAUCAUCGAGUCUUUGAACGCACAUUGCGCCCUCUGGUAUUCCGGAGGGCAUGCCUGUCCGAGCGUCAUUGCUGCCCUCAAGCACGGCUUGUGUGUUGGGCCCCGCCCCCCGAUCCCGGGGGGCGGGCCCGAAAGGCAGCGGCGGCACCGCGUCCGGUCCUCGAGCAUAUGGGGCUUUGUCACCCGCUCUGUAGGCCCGGCCGGCGCUUGCCGAUCAACCAAACUUUUUUCCAGGUUGACCUCGGAUCAGGUAGGGAUACCCGCUGAACUUAAGCAUAUCAAUAAGCGGAGGA
rnacentral:misc_RNA from 1 species